rnacentral:rRNA from 1 species
GACGAACGCUGGCGGCGUGCUUAACACAUGCAAGUCGAGCGGUAACGGCCCGUUUCGGGGUACACGAGCGGCGAACGGGUGAGUAACACGUGGGUGACCUGCCCUCAGCUCUGGGAUAAGCCCGGGAAACUGGGUCUAAUACCGGAUAUGACUUCAUGACGCAUGUUGUGGAGUGGAAAGCCUUGUGCGGCUGAGGAUGGGCCCGCGGCCUA